CGCGGAGUAGCUCAGCCAGGUAGAGCUCGGGUCUCAUAAUCCCGCCGUCGGCCGUUCGAAUCGGCCCUCCGCAACCA
rnacentral:tRNA from 2 species